rnacentral:rRNA from 1 species
GAUGAACGCUGGCGGCGUGCCUAAUACAUGCAAGUCGAGCGAACAGAUAAGGAGCUUGCUCCUUUGACGUUAGCGGCGGACGGGUGAGUAACACGUGGAUAACCUACCUAUAAGACUGGGAUAACUUCGGGAAACCGGAGCUAAUACCGGAUAACAUAUUGAACCGCAUGGUUCAAUAGUGAAAGGCGGCUUUGCUGUCACUUAUAGAUGGAUCCGCGCCGUAUUAGCUAGUUGGUAAGGUAACGGCUUACCAAGGCAACGAUACGUAGCCGACCUGAGAGGGUGAUCGGCCACACUGGAACUGAGACACGGUCCAGACUCCUACGGGAGGCAGCAGUAGGGAAUCUUCCGCAAUGGGCGAAAGCCUGACGGAGCAACGCCGUGUGAGUGAUGAAGGUCUUCGGAUCGUAAAACUCUGUUAUCAGGGAAGAACAAAUGUGUAAGUAACUGUGCACAUCUUGACGGUACCUGAUCAGAAAGCCACGGCUAACUACGUG